CAAUAGCGUAUAUUAAAGUUGUUGCAGUUAAAAAGCUCGUAGUUGGACUUCUGCGGGUGGCGGCCGGUCGUGCCCUUUUGUGGCGUGAACUUGGCUCUUUGCCGCCCGCAUCUUUGGGGAGAUUGUGCGUGGCAUUAGGUUGUCGUGCAUGGGAUUCUCAUCAUUUACUGUGAAAAAAUUAGAGUGUUUAAAGCAGGCCUUUGCCUUGAAUACAUUAGCAUGGAAUAAUAAGAUAGGACCGUUGUCUAUUUUGUUGGUUUACAGAUGUCGGUAAUGAUUAAUAGGGAUAGUUGGGGGUAUUCGUAUUCAAUUGUCAGAGGUGAAAUUCUUGGAUUUUCGGAAGACGCACGACUGCGAAAGCAUUUACCAAGGAUGUUUUCAUUAA
rnacentral:rRNA from 1 species